CUUGGGUGACGUGGUCCUCACGUGAGCCGGAGCCGACGUUUGCAGACGCCCUUCUAAUCCUGAUCCUGGUUUGGUCCGGUUACUAGCUCCUUUUUGCCCCGAGGGCAGGCGGGCGGUGGCCAGGGAAGGAGGAGGAGGAGGUUACUGCCCGGAUCCCAGCAGCUUUGCAGGACGCAGUGGAUUUCCAGGCAAGGGAGAGAAGGAAGAAACUGCCUGGACCUGCACCGGUGUAUGUCAGGAUGCUGCUACCCCAGGACAUCUGAAGGGGUAGGGGAGGUACGGAACUGAUCAGAGACCUUAAAUUUAACGUGCGGGAGUGG
rnacentral:lncRNA from 1 species